UACGUAGGGGGCGAGCGUUGUCCGGAGUACUGGGCGUAAAGCGCACGCAGGCGGUCUGCUAAGUUUGGAGUGACAGUUGGUGGCUUAACUGCCAAAGUGCUUCGAAAACUGACAGACUUGAGGGCUUCAGAGGGACACGGAAUUCCGGGUGGAGUGGUGAAAUGCGUAGAGAUCCGGAAGAACACCGGUGGCGAAGGCGGCCUGCUGGGCAGUUGCUGACACUGAGGCGCGACAGCGUGGGGAGCAAACAGG
rnacentral:rRNA from 1 species